rnacentral:lncRNA from 1 species
UCUAUUUUUGAAGCAAAAUAUAUAGUACCACUUAAGAUGAUUUAAUACCAAAUUAUUUGAUCCAAAUAUAUAGAAUUUAAAGUAAAAUUUGAAGCACCAUCGAAAAUGUUCUUAGCGUCUCAACGAUCAUCUAGACUGCGAGCGACGCUAGGCAACAUCCAAACAUGCGAUAAUCACCUAAUAAUCUGAACAGAACUAUAUAUUAGCAGCUUAAUUGUCAAAAAAAAAUAAAAAAAUAUUUCAGCUUAUAUAAAAAAGGGUAUCUACACUAUCUGACCAUAAAAGACUUUAUAAUUAAAUUUCUAUCUAUGCUAUUUCUUUAAUUGAAUGGACAAGAGAGAAUGUUGUUUUGACAUUUUUACCCUUUUCUAUACAUCUAAUUGUUUCUCUUCUCCUUCAUCUUCCAUGAAUUUUCUUCGACAUUGUCUAUGGUGGGUUUUCCGACGUUAUUUCCGAUCACCGUCUCUCCUCCAAAUCCUUCUCUUUCUUCAUCGUCAUCUCCAUUUCUUCACAAACAAAUUCUAUAUCUAACUUUGUAUUUGACUCGUCACUUCCAUCGCUUUUAUACACAACACACAAUCAAUCAAUCAUCACCAAAUAAUUCACAAAAACAAAGAGCUUGGAAUAGAGAUACAAAGGUAAAGAGAGAAAAAGAAAUAAUUAGUUUACAUGAUUUUAGAAUGGAUUAAACUUUUCAAUUGAAGAAUUUGGGGAUGUAAAUUAUGUUUUUGUAAUUUAGAGAAAGAUCGAAGGGGAGAAAGAGGUGGGAAAAGGAGAAGAAGAGAAGGUGAGAAGGUGAAAUUGGGAUUAGAGUUGCUGGUAACAAUGGAGGAGGAAGAAGAUUUGAGAGACGUGAAGAGAGAGGAGAAUAUUUGAGAAGAGAAGAUUUGUUUUUUCCUGAUAACACAAAAGUUAACCCUGAUAAAUAAAUUAUCAUGAUAAAUAAAUAUACUAAUGUGUAAAUUAGCGGU